CAGACUCGGACCCAGCGGGGAGGGGCGGCCGCCAGGUGGACCCGGUGGGAAACCUGGCCCUGGCUGCUCCGGGUUUCUGUCCCCGAAGCCCUGGUCGGGAAUGAACUGCCGAGGAGGAUGUAUACACAGACCCCCGUGGCGACCCGGGACGGAUUCCGCCCCACAGGAGAACCCGGGUGCCUGGGUUCCUGGUUACUAGGGCCAGCUGAGGCGGCCAGGGCGACCUGUCACAAUUCACCCGCACGAACCUACGAGAGGACUGGUGGGACUCGGGGCUAGAGACCUGGGUGUUGCUGGAAGGUGGGAAUGUGGUAGGAGGGUCACCAUCGAGCACAGCAUGAGCACUUCAUAAAUAUUUAAUCACAAUAUUAUUAUUAAUAAUAGUCAUAAUAAUGGGCCCAAUAUGUGCUCCCUAGGCAUUCGCAUCUGGCAAGGCCAAGGGAGCUCUACGUGCUUUCUAACCGUCACUUUGAGCAUUGAGAUUACACUCUGGACUGUGAUUGUAAACCUAAAACAUUCACAGAAUAAGCUGGAAAGGGGGAAAUAAAAAGGGGUCAAGAAGCUUUCCUGGGCCAGACAACCGGCUCUUUGCAGAGAUUUUAUCCUCAUCUGCUCCUCCCGAUACCUUGUUCCCAAAGUAGAAGGUUGGUCUUCAGUUGCUCACACACAUUUAUCCCUCCUCCACUUAUCUCGGUAAUUUAAAGCAGCCAAUAUUGACUGGCCUAGGCCUUCUGAGGAAAAAUUCCACCUAUUCCAUUUUGAUUGAAGUCCUGGUGCUCAAGAUGAUGCUUCUGUGACCUGGAACUUCUUUGCAUAUCUGCUGUAGAACUUCACUCAUUCUUCCAUUGGUUCAACAAAAUAUUCUCCAAGGGCCGUACUAAGGUCAAUUCAGAUAAAGCUUCUUGUGUGUAGUUUUUCCUUCUGGGAUGACAUUAAAACAAGAUAAUACUGGAGAAAGAGACAGAGGGUUGGGGGAAGCUAUUCUCUUUUCUUCCUGGGGGUACUGCCUGGCAAUUAAGAAAAUAGGGUUGGGGAUGUACUUUAAUGUUAAAGCGUAUAGCAUGUGCAAAGCCCUGAGUUCAAUCCCCAGCACAACCAAAACCCAAACAAAACAAAUUAUCUAUCUGUCUAUCUAUAUCUAUCCUCCCAUGUGUGUGUAUAUAUGUAUGUAUAUAUUAUAUAUAUGUGUGUGUGUGUAUGUGUGUGUGUGUGUAAGAAAGUGAGCCAGAAAAAUAUUGCUUUUCCAAGGAUGCUCUGUUUUAAGAAAAAAUCUGGGAUAAGAUAAUAAGAUUUAAUCACAAUAAAAUUAUAAUUGCGGGUGGGGGGGGUUGUAGCUCAGUGGUAAAGUGCUUGCCUAGCACAUAUGAGGUAUUGGGUUCAAUCCUUAGCACCACGUAAAAAUAAAUAAAGUUAUAUGUCCAUCUACAAUUAAAAAAAAUUAUUAAAAAA
rnacentral:lncRNA from 1 species